UGCCUUACACAUGCAAGUCGAACGGUAACAGGUUAAGCUGACGAGUGGCGAACGGGUGAGUAAUGUAUCGGAACGUGCCCAGUCGUGGGGGAUAACUACUCGAAAGAGUGGCUAAUACCGCAUACGACCUGAGGGUGAAAGCGGGGGACCGUAAGGCCUCGCGCGAUUGGAGCGGCCGAUAUCAGAUUAGCUAGUUGGUGGGGUAAAAGCCCACCAAGGCGACGAUCUGUAGCUGGUCUGAGAGGACGACCAGCCACACUGGGACUGAGACACGGCCCAGACUCCUACGGGAGGCAGCAGUGGGGAAUUUUGGACAAUGGGCGCAAGCCUGAUCCAGCAAUGCCGCGUGCAGGAUGAAGGCCUUCGGGUUGUAAACUGC
rnacentral:rRNA from 1 species